AAUAAUUGUUAGUGGCAGACGGGUGAGUAAUGCGUAGGAAUCUACCUAGUAGUAUGGAAUAGCCAUUAGAAAUGAUGGGUAAUACUGUAUAAUCCCUGCGGGGGAAAGAUUUAUCGCUAUUAGAUGAGCCUACGUUAGAUUAGCUAGUUGGUAAGGUAAUGGCUUACCAAGGCUAUGAUCUAUAGCUGGUCUGAGAGGACGAUCAGCCACACUGGAACUGAGAUACGGUCCAGACUCCUACGGGAGGCAGCAGUGGGGAAUAUUGGACAAUGGGCGAAAGCCUGAUCCAGCUAUGCCGCGUGAGUGAAGAAGG
rnacentral:rRNA from 1 species